GGCUAGGGGUCAAAUCAGAGCUACAGCUGCUGGCCUAUACCACAGCUCACGGCGGUGACCGAUCCUUAACCCACUGAGCGAGGCCAGGGAUCAAACCCGCAUCCGCAUGGAUCCUAGUUGGGUUUGUUACCUGCUGAGCCACAAAGGGAACUCCUCUCCCCAACUUUUGAGCGUCACUCACCCACCUGUCUUCCCUUGGGUCUGCAUCAGCCUGGCCCUGACCUUCUUCUGCAGAAAUCCCCCCAGCCUCCUGGGCAGCAGCGGCAGAAGGCUGUCGAGUACAGGGCUGGCUCCCCCCAACUUUCAUGUCCCUGUUGAAGACGGUGGAUGGCGUGACGAACCAGCCCCUGGAUGUGUCUGUCAAGGUCACCAUCGGCAACUCUGAGUUUCAAAAGAAAAGAGAUCUGAGCCUCCUCCUCAAGCCUGGCCUCUUGGCAUCGUGGUCCAACGCCCAUCACCCCGGAGAGAACAGAAGCCGGUUGAGCACAGCUCGACCCUGCUCAGAACCUCAAAGCCCAGCAGCAGAACCUGGUCCCCUUCCUGGAAUCAGACUAUGACCGGCUGAUGCAGCAAUAGGCCCUGCAUCCCGUGCGUGUCACCCGCACCCAGAGGCGGCUCCAGACACCCAGUUCCUGCCCGUGCCUUUCCUUCUCCCACAUCCCGACCAGCUGGCAACACUCCAGGACGCUCCAGUCGUUAGAAGGGAGUGGACCCGGCGAGGGAAAGAGGAGCAGCAUUGAUUCAAUGCAGCAGGAGCACAGAGAUGAGCCCAAAUCUCGACGAAAGAGGGGCCCUGACGCAGUGCCCCUUUCUCACUUGGCCCCCAGUCCACCGUCCAGUUCCUGGCGGACCACAGACCAGAGGUCACCGUUCUCACCAAGAUCAAAUGUCACGCCGGUCUGUGGUGGGGCAUCAGCCCUGCCAACCGGGCAGCAAUGGUCCAGGAGCUCGCCAAUGCCACGGCCAGCUCCAACGCCGCGUCCUGGACCGUUCAGAGGUAACCUGGCACCACCCGAACCCACAGCCCUCUGAGCUCCCCGGCUCUUUGCGAGACUUCCAGGUAAACAUCAGGACCUUCCGAGUCCACAGCAGCAGAAAAGUGUAAGGACUAACCUUGAAUGAGGACCGCGUGGCUGUCAGGUUUGGGGGGAAGGCGUUUAGAACUUUAUUAUAACGGGCUGCAGUGAUGCGCUAGCUGAAGAAGAAUCAACCGUGUAUAUUUACGAGAGCACCUCUGUCGUCCCAGAGAGGCCCCUCACGGCCUUUCUCGUCCGGAUCCACGCACGCAGGGCUCUGCUUUCCAUCACCGUGGGGCAGUGCUCUCUGUCCCUGAACUUCACAUGCCCAGACCGUGGACCUGCGCUCACCUGGACAGCUGCGCUUUUGAGAUGCGUCCAUACUGUCGCAUGCAUGCGUUGUCUUUUCAAUGUGCUGAGUGAUAUCUCGUGCCUACAUUCGACGGCUUUCCAUUCUGGUGGACAUUUGCGUUGUACCCAUUUUUAAGGCACAUGUUCCCUUUUCUCCUGAGAAAACACCUAGGAAGAAUCGUUUCAUGACGUUUAGCCUUUUAAGGAACUUAGAAGCAGUUUCCAAAGUGGAUGUGCCCUCUCGGCUCCCACCAGCAAUGUGCAAGGUUCCAGUUACUCCGCAUCCGCGCUGGCAGCAGGCAUGGUCCGCUUUGGGCGUUCAUUCGGCCGUUCCGGCUGUCCAUACGGUGAAUUGAAUUAUUUUCUCAUGUUUGACCAGUUUUGCGUUCUCAGGAUAAACCCCGUUUGGAAUUUCCAUGACGACACUACUAGAUCUUUCCAUAUUGACUAACAAAUCCACGAGGACGUCAUUUUUGGAAACGCCUUCUUUCAGUUCCUUGAAUUAGAUCACUUUCAUUGACCUGUUUUGGAGUUUAUGGGCUCUUUCCUCUGUCACCUUCGUUCUGCUACCAGCCUAUUCAGUGUAUCUCCUGUACCUUGCAUCUCGGUUCUAGAAUUUUUAUUUCUUUUUUAAUCAACUUUUUCUUUAAUUUUACACUUACAGGAGGUUUUGCAAAGAUAGGAGAAAAUGUAUCCAAAUGCCCCUCUGUUUUCCUUCAUGUUAACAUCUUUCUUUACAAAGAACCAUGGUAUGUUUUUCAAAACUGAAGUUGGUAUGUUACACUAGCUAAACUCCAGACUGUGUUCAGAUUUCACCAGUUUUUACAUGAAUGUGGUUUUUUUUUUUUUUUGUUCCAAGAUUCAAUCCAGGAGACCACAUCGCAUUUAGAGAUUCUUGGUUACAGUUUGUCUGUCUUUGCCAAAACUUCUGUUUUUCCACUCAUUUCAAGGCUGUCCAGCUUUACCUCAUGAAGGGUAAUUAGAACAGCUGCCUCCAAGUUCACGUCUGAUAAUUCCCACAUCUGGGUCAUUUUGGGGUUGUCAUCUUUUGAUUGCCUUUCCCCUUGGGUUUUGGUCAGAUUUUCCUGGUUCUUGAGUGCUGAGCAAUGCUCAAUUUUUUAUCUUGGACAUGUUGUUUGUUUGUGUUAUGUGAGAAGACUGGAUCCUAUUAAAAACACCCUGGAGAAUG
rnacentral:lncRNA from 1 species